rnacentral:sRNA from 1 species
UGGCUUUUAUUUUGGGUAUUGGUUUAGCCACUGGCGCGCCUGAUACCUGAAAUCGGCGCCCACUACUCAAGGGGUCGCCUACCAGAGAAAUCUAAACCCCCGGUCGGCUCCCCGACCGGGGG